GACCGUACGAACGCAUGCUCCACUCGCUCCGAUACGCAAGCUGUUCCAGGGGAAGCCGGUCGAAUUCCGGCGCUGACCCGCAACCGUAGACCCGGCCUGGCCGGGUGAGCCGGAGUACCUGGGGCUUGUUCCACAGCAAC
rnacentral:ncRNA from 2 species